AGACCCUAUGGCUCAAAUACUGGAAAUAAAAUAUGCCAGUUCAAUAUGCCAGUAUUUCUGGGAGAGUCUGCUGUUGGCAAAUCAAGCCUAGUGCUUCGUUUUGUGAAAGGCCCAUUUCAUGAAUUUCAAGAGAGUACCAUUGGGACAGAUUCAGCUGAUUUUCUAACCCAAAAUGUGUGUCUUGAUGACACUACAGUAUAGUUUGAAAUACAGGAUACAGCUGGUCAAGAAUGAUACCGUAGCCUAGCACCAAUGUACUACAGAGGAGCACAAGCAGCCAUAGCUGUAUAUGAUACCACAAAUGAGGAGUCCUUUGCAAGAGCAAAAAAUUGGGUUAAAGAACUUCAGAGGCAAGCAUGUCCUGAUAUUGUAAUAGCUUUAUCAGGAAACAAGGCUGACCUAGCAAAUAAAAGAGCAGUAGAUUUCCAGGAAGCACAGUCCUAUGCAGAUGACAAUAGUUUAUUAUUCAUGAAGACAUCAGCUAAACAUCAGUGAAUGUAAAUGAAAUGUUCGUGGCAAUAGCUAAAAAAUUGCCAAAGAAUGAACCACAAAAUCCAGAAGCAAAUUCUGCCAGAAAAAGAGGAGUAGCCCUUACUGAACCCACACAACCAAACAGGAGUCAGUGUUGUAG
rnacentral:lncRNA from 1 species